rnacentral:rRNA from 1 species
AUUGAACGCUGGCGGCAGGCCUAACACAUGCAAGUCGAGCGAGCGGCGGACGGGCGAGUAAUGUAUGGGGACUGCGAGAUAGAGGGGGAUAACCAUUGGAAAAGGUGGAAAAUACCGCAUAAUAUCGGAUAACACAUGUGGGAGUAGAUAGUAGGUGGGGGAAAGGCUCACCUAGGCGACGAUCUCUAGCUGGUCUGAGAGGACGAUCAGCCACACUGGGACUGAGACACGGCCCUGACUCCUACGGAGGCAGCAGUGGGGAAUAUUGCACAAUUGGCGCAAGCCUGAUGCAGCCAUGCCGCGUGUAUGAAGAAGGCCUUAGGGUUGUAAAGUACUUUCAGCCGGGAGGCGUUACCCGCAUAAGAAGCACCGGCUAACUCCGUGCCAGCAGCCGCGGUAAUAC